ensembl:lncRNA
GGAGAGAAAUAGUCGAUUCAGACGAAGGCAGAGGCUGUGUCUCUGUGUGGGCUCUGCGUGGCGGUGUCCAGGCCUGAGGCUCGGCAGAAGGAUGCUCUGUCUGUGCUGGACGUUCGAUAAAGUGUCCCUCAAGAAAUGACCAUAGUAAAGACGGCCACGGCCAGAGGAGACGAGGCCAUGAGCUGUGUCCAUGUCCGUGUGCCUUCUGCACCGCGGGCCGGGUCACACGGCCUGGGUCGGGGUCCAUGGCAGCCCAGGGGUCAGACGGAGGUCUGUGGUCCCCAGCACCGGGCUUGUCCUCUGGUUUCCGCACCCCAGGUCACCGGCCAUCACCAAACUGUGCCAGGACUGUCAGAGCAGGACCCCCGAGGCUGCUAAUCAUCAUAAUUCAGGCCCCCUGCUGCCUGUCGGCCUGUGACCACCUCUGAGAGGGGAGGCGGGGACAGCUCUGUGCAGUUGACCACACGGAGGCCUGGAGGGCAUGCAGGGCGUACGUGGACACCACGGAGGGCAUUCGUGGCUGGCAGAGUCAGGGAGAGAGCCCAGCCUCCCACCCAGGCAGGUGGCCAGCCAGGGAACGCCGGAGCAGCAGGCAGAUGAAGCGCACGGCAACCUGCGGCUGUUCCUGAGCUGUUCCUGAUCUCCAGAACUUGGCCCUGUUUUCUGAAGAAGCUGCCCUAACAGCCAGGAGCUGGUCGUUGUCCCAGGCUGUGCACGAUGCUUUUGCUUUGUUCUGUUUUUGUUUUUUGUUUUUUUUCAUUUCUAUGUCUUUUAAUCAUUAUUAUUAUUUAAUUGGAGGAUUAUUGCUCUGCAGUGUCGUGGUGGCCUCCGCUGCACUUCAGCAUGAAUCAGUCAUAAUUAUACACGUACCCACUCCCUCUUGGGCACCACCCCCCCUUCCACCCCUCUAGGUCCUCACGGAGUGCCAGACUGGGCUCCCUGCGUCAGACAGCAGGGUGAAGUAAGUCGGAAGAAGAAAAACAAACCCCACAUACUAACACGCGCGUGUGCACAGCCUUUGGGGCACGCGCCAGGCAGCAGGAGUCUCACUGGGCCUCCUCCCACCCCCCGUCUGAUGCUCCUUCUCAGCCUUGGGGACUCGGUGUGGAGAAGGGCCCGGGUGUGUUUGUAACCGGUGCUGCUGAUUAAGUUACUACGAGUGAUCACGGACAGCAAUAAGUGCGUUAGGGGCUGGGAUUUCAUCUGAUCUCAGAUCCUGAAACAGGCGCUCACCUAAAGGCUGACGACUGAGCAGGAGGGCCCCCCUGCUGGGGACCGCCGCCUCACCCAGCACCCCCCAGACGCGGCCCCUUGCCGCCCAGGGGGUACAUCACACCCACCUUCGCAGCCAGUCUAAGUUUCAGUGGAAACAUGGGGGGAGAAGGACAGAGU